rnacentral:rRNA from 1 species
GAUGAACGCUGGCGGCGUGCCUAAUACAUGCAAGUCGAGCGAACAGACGAGGAGCUUGCUCCUCUGACGUUAGCGGCGGACGGGUGAGUAACACGUGGAUAACCUACCUAUAAGACUGGGAUAACUUCGGGAAACCGGAGCUAAUACCGGAUAAUAUAUUGAACCGCAUGGUUCAAUAGUGAAAGACGGUUUUGCUGUCACUUAUAGAUGGAUCCGCGCCGCAUUAGCUAGUUGGUAAGGUAACGGCUUACCAAGGCAACGAUGCGUAGCCGACCUGAGAGGGUGAUCGGCCACCCUGGAACUGCGACACGCUCCAGACUCCUACGGGCGGCAGCCGUAGGGAAUCUUCCGCAAUGGGCGGAAGCCUGACGGCGCAGCGCCGCGUGAGUGAUGAAGGUCUUCGGAUCGUAAAUCUCUGUUAUUAGGGAAGAACAAAUGUGUAAGUGACUAUGCACGUCUUGACGGUACCUAAUCAGAAAGCCACGGCUAACUACGUG